UAAGCCNUGCAUGUCUCGGUUCAGAUCCUCGGUAAAGUGAAACUGCGAAUGGCUCAUUAAAUCAGUCGAGGUUCCCUAGACGAUUGACACUUGUUACUUGGACAACUGUGGCAAUUCCAGAGCUAAUACAUGCCUCGAAGCUCCUACCUGGCGCGGUGCCACCCUCCGGGUGCCCGCGCCGGGGAAGAGCGCACUUAUUAGACCAAAACCAGUCGGUGCGGGCGGCGGGACACACGCGGGGCAACCCGCGCCCGCCGCCGGCCGUCCUCUUUGGUGACUCUGGAUAACCUUGCGCAGAUCGCAUGGCCCUCGCGCCGGCGACACGUCUUACAAAUGUCUGCCCUAUCAAAUCUCGACGGUAGGCGACAUGCCUACCGUGUUUGCAACGGGUAACGGGGAAUCAGGG
rnacentral:rRNA from 1 species